AAUUGAAGAGUUUGAUCAUGGCUCAGAUUGAACGCUGGCGGCAGGCCUAACACAUGCAAGUCGAGCGGUAGCACAGAGAGCUUGCUCUCGGGUGACGAGCGGCGGACGGGUGAGUAAUGUCUGGGAAACUGCCUGAUGGAGGGGGAUAACUACUGGAAACGGUAGCUAAUACCGCAUAAUGUCGCAAGACCAAAGUGGGGGACCUUCGGGCCUCAUGCCAUCAGAUGUGCCCAGAUGGGAUUAGCUAGUAGGUGGGGUAACGGCUCACCUAGGCGACGAUCCCUAGCUGGUCUGAGAGGAUGACCAGCCACACUGGAACUGAGACACGGUCCAGACUCCUACGGGAGGCAGCAGUGGGGAAUAUUGCACAAUGGGCGCAAGCCUGAUGCAGCCAUGCCGCGUGUGUGAAGAAGGCCUUCGGGUUGUAAAGCACUUUCAGCGGGGAGGAAGGCGUUAAGGUUAAUAACCUUGGCGAUUGACGUUACCCGCAGAAGAAGCACCGGCUAACUCCGUGCCAGCAGCCGCGGUAAUACGGAGGGUGCAAGCGUUAAUCGGAAUUACUGGGCGUAAAGCGCACGCAGGCGGUCUGUCAAGUCGGAUGUGAAAUCCCCGGGCUCAACCUGGGAACUGCAUUCGAAACUGGCAGGCUAGAGUCUUGUAGAGGGGGGUAGAAUUCCAGGUGUAGCGGUGAAAUGCGUAGAGAUCUGGAGGAAUACCGGUGGCGAAGGCGGCCCCCUGGACAAAGACUGACGCUCAGGUGCGAAAGCGUGGGGAGCAAACAGGAUUAGAUACCCUGGUAGUCCACGCCGUAAACGAUGUCGAUUUGGAGGUUGUGCCCUUGAGGCGUGGCUUCCGGAGCUAACGCGUUAAAUCGACCGCCUGGGGAGUACGGCCGCAAGGUUAAAACUCAAAUGAAUUGACGGGGGCCCGCACAAGCGGUGGAGCAUGUGGUUUAAUUCGAUGCAACGCGAAGAACCUUACCUGGUCUUGACAUCCACAGAACUUAGCAGAGAUGCUUUGGUGCCUUCGGGAACUGUGAGACAGGUGCUGCAUGGCUGUCGUCAGCUCGUGUUGUGAAAUGUUGGGUUAAGUCCCGCAACGAGCGCAACCCUUAUCCUUUGUUGCCAGCGGUUCGGCCGGGAACUCAAAGGAGACUGCCAGUGAUAAACUGGAGGAAGGUGGGGAUGACGUCAAGUCAUCAUGGCCCUUACGACCAGGGCUACACACGUGCUACAAUGGCAUAUACAAAGAGAAGCGACCUCGCGAGAGCAAGCGGACCUCAUAAAGUAUGUCGUAGUCCGGAUUGGAGUCUGCAACUCGACUCCAUGAAGUCGGAAUCGCUAGUAAUCGUAGAUCAGAAUGCUACGGUGAAUACGUUCCCGGGCCUUGUACACACCGCCCGUCACACCAUGGGAGUGGGUUGCAAAAGAAGUAGGUAGCUUAACCUUCGGGAGGGCGCUUACCACUUUGUGAUUCAUGACUGGGGUGAAGUCGUAACAAGGUAACCGUAGGGGAACCUGCGGUUGGAUCACCUCCUUACCUUA
rnacentral:rRNA from 1 species